AGCUUUGCGCAGUGGCAGUAUGGUAGCCAGUGAGGUUUAUCCGAGGCGCAAUUAUUGCUAAUUGAAGUUCUGGGUGACCAUGAACCCGGCGGGGGGGGGGGCGGGGGGCCACUAUCCAACCCAAUACACAGACCAAACAGAUACAUCAUUGGAAACGGCCCAAGAGUC
rnacentral:snRNA from 1 species